rnacentral:rRNA from 1 species
GAUGAACGCUGGCGGCGUGCUUAACACAUGCAAGUCGAACGGAAAGGCCCUGCUUUUGUGGGGUGCUCGAGUGGCGAACGGGUGAGUAGCACGUGAGUAACCUGCCUUUGACUUUGGGAUAACUUCAGGAAACUGGGGAUAAUACCGGAUAGGAGCUCCAGAUGCAUGGUGGGGGUUGGAAAGUUUCGGCGGUAGGGGAUGGACUCGCGGCUGAUCAGCAUGUUGGUGGGGUAGUGGCUUACCAAGGCUUUGACGGGUAGCCGGCCUGAGAGGGUGACCGGCCACAGUGGGACUGAGAUACGGCCCGGACUCCUACGGGAGGCAGCAGUGGGGAAUAUUGCACGAUGGGCGGAAGCCUGAUGCAGCAACGCCGCGUGCGGGAUGACGGCCUUCGGUUAGUAGGCCGCUUUCGCCUGUGACGAAGCGUGAGUGACGGUAAUGGGUAAAGAAGCACCGGCUAACUACGUG